GGUACAGCAACUAAUGAGGAUCCCACGUUCUCUGAAAUGACCUCAAGUUUUCUCUACACAACUGCAUCACAAUUGAUUCUCCUGUCUAAUGGGCGAAGUCCUAGUUUGAACGUGGGGUAAAUUUUCCUAAAAAAUUGUGGAUUUUAAUUACAUUAAGAUUAGAUAUUCUACCUGACUCUACUUACCCACUGUAUCCUAAAUCAAUAUGUGAGCCUAACUGAUUAUGGGGGCAAAAGGCCCUACCCUACUACAAGGAUUCAGG
rnacentral:misc_RNA from 1 species